rnacentral:lncRNA from 1 species
UGUUGAGAAGUUGGUUUUGAAGGUGCGUGUGAAAGAGUAAUUGUUUUAUUGUGAUAUCCCACUAGGUUUAUAUGUAAUCUGUGGCAGUGGCAGGAACUGGAGAAGGAAGAACUUCCCCCUCCUCAUAUGACUCGGGUUUCCGAAGCUGAGAUAAAAAAGGGCUUAGAAGGUGGAGAGGGAUGCUACGGGUACAAUGAGUAGAAAAAGGAUGGAAUUUCUGGAU